rnacentral:rRNA from 1 species
CAGCAGCCGCGGUAAUUCCAGCUCCAAUAGCGUAUACUAAAGUUGUUGCGGUUAAAAAGCUCGUAGUUGGAUCUUGGAAUGUGUUCAAGCGGGUCAGCUUCUGGCUGUGCGCUGCUUGACGUGUUCUUCUAUUUGGUUUUGGUGCGGUGCGCUUAACUGCGUGUCGCUCCCGGCCGAAACGUUUACCUUGAAAAAAUUAGAGUGUUCAAAGCAGACCUGUUUGAGUCUGAAUAUUCGUGCAUGGAAUAAUGAAAUAUGAAUUCGGUUCUAUUUUGUUGGUUUUCGGAACUCGAGUUAAUGAUCAAGAGGGACAGACGGGGGCAUUCGUACUCUGCCGUUAGAGGUGAAAUUCUUGGAUCGGCGGAAGACGCGCAACUGCGAAAGCAUUUGCCAAGAAUGUUUUCUUUAAUCAAGAACGAUAGUCGGAGGUUCGAAGACGAUCAGAUACCGUCCUAGUUUCGACUGUAAACUAUGCCAGCUAACGAUCAGACAGAGUUCUCUACGACUUGUCUGGCAGUUUCCGGGAAACCAAAGCGUUUGGGUUCCGGGGGAAGUAUGGUUGCAAAGCUGAAACUUAAAGGAAUUGACGGAAGGGCACCACCAGGAGUGGAGCCUGCGGCUUAAUUUGACUCAACACGGGGAAACUCACCCGGCCCGGACACAGUGAGGAUUGACAGAUUGAGAGUUCUUUCUUGAUUCUGUGGGUGGUGGUGCAUGGCCGUUCUUAGUUGGUGGAGCGAUUUGUCUGGUUAAUUCCGAUAACGAACGAGACUCUGGCAUGUUAAAUAGUCGCGGAAGUGCGUAUGCACUUGCCGAAUUGACUUCUUAGAGGGACUAGUGAUUUUAAUUCACACGAGAUUGACGCAAUAACAGGUCUGUGAUGC